GGGUAAACCUGCGAAACUCGAAUGAACGAACGGAGAGAUUCAUCGUCAUUCCGUGGCGUACGGACGCGUGCUUCGAUGUCGUCGGCUUCGGUCGGCGUGCACGACGCGCGUACGAGGACGUCCGCGGACGGCGUGCACUUCUCUCUUAGUAAAUGCAUCGCGACCCGUUCGAUGUCGGUCUAAGCGCCGUUCGGUAGCCCAAUGGUCCCCUUACGGGGUCUAUUGGACCGCGACGGUGGCCGACCGGCCGUCGGACGGUAGUACUGAGGAAACGCGCACGCGUAAAUAACGCGUCCGGCCCGACGCAAGUCAACGUCGUAUCCAACGUACCGCCCAAGCGCGGACGUAGGUGCGGCGCGUCUGCUGUUGCUGCCGUGCAGUCUCGGACUGUGCGCGUCUCUGUCUGCGAUGAUUCAGUUUCGGGCACUCGCAGGACCCGUCUUGAAACACGGACCAAGGAGUCUAGCAUGUAUGCGAGUCAUUGAGAUAAAUAAACUGAAAGGCGCAACGAAAGUGAAGGCGUGCGCUAAACCGCGCGCUCAGGGAGGAUGGAGCUUCGAUCUAGGUCGUACUCUCGCACUCCCGAGGCGUCUCGUUUCCAAUUCGUGAAUGUAGGCGCGCUCUGAGCAUAAAUGCUGGGACCCGAAAGAUG
rnacentral:rRNA from 1 species